rnacentral:rRNA from 1 species
AUGACGUUGAUAGGUUGGGUGUGUAAGCGCUGUGAGGCGUUGAGCUAACCAAUACUAAUUGCCCGUGAGGCUUGACCAUAUAACACCCAAGCAAUU